AUUCCUCGUCGGAACUUUUCAUACGCAUCCGGGACUCGGUGCCCAAAUUCCCAAAUGUUUCACUGAGUCGACUCGGCCUCCUCCUCAUAUCGCAAAGUCAAAACGAGAUCAUUACAAAAUGGCGCCAUCACGUAACAUCAUUGUAGCCACCGGUCUGGUUGCUUUCGCAUCUGCAGGGUUAGCGUUCCCCUUUUACAUGGCAUCAUCGAAAAAACCAGUAAUUGAUCCAACAAAACCAUUAUCUCCUCAAGCAACUUUUAGAGGACCUUACAUCAACACUGGUUCACGCGAUGUUGGUCCUGACCAUCGAACGUAUCCAAAGAAAUGAUCAGAUCAAUUCAAAAGCACGAGUUUUCAAUGUGAGCGGUAUGGUAUACAUUCAUAUAUCUUUUUCCUAGACAAUAUCUUUUUCAAGUUUGUACUCCCACUCCAUGUAAUUUCGUUAUGCUUCAUGUAACUUAUCAGAAAGAUAGUUUUCCCAACCUAAACAUUGAAUGUAACUGAAGAAACGGCUUUCAUAAACUUGAUUUUUGUAUUGUCAAAAAAAAGUUCUGAGA